UAUACAUCAUGUAUGAGGACACAGAAAGACGGAAAAUCUGAAAAGCUGUAGGCCAUGACUGCAGACCGGAGAAGAAGACUGAAGAAGAAGAAGGAGACUGGAGAGGGGAGAGGGGAGGACUGAAGAAGAAGAAGAAGACUGGAGGACUGCACUGAUGAACAACGUGGUAGCGAGCACGGAAGGCUACGAGGCGGGCGUAGUAGGCUGGCGCAGGGAUGGAGACGGAGCGCGUGCAGCGCACAUAAGUGUGGCACAACUGACUUGUCAGCACAGAAGAGGCGGGUGUGGUGGCGUUUUUGGACAACGAUGUAGGUGAUGCCUGGCUGAUAGUCUUUCUCCAGUUUGAUGCACG